GAUGAACGCUGGCGGCGUGCCUAAUACAUGCAAGUCGAGCGAACGGACGCGAAGCUUGCUUCUCUGAUGUUAGCGGCGGACGGGUGAGUAACACGUGGAUAACCUACCUAUAAGACUGGGAUAACUUCGGGUAACCGGAGCUAAUACCGGAUAAUAUUUUGAACCGCAUGGUUCAAAAGUGAAUGACGGUCUUGCUGUCACUUAUAGAUGGAUCCGCGGUGCAUUAGCUAGUUGGUAAGGUAACGGCUUACCAAGGCAACGAUGCAUAGCCGACCUGAGAGGGUGAUCGGCCACACUGGAACUGAGACACGGUCCAGACUCCUACGGGAGGCAGCAGUAGGGAAUCUUCCGCAAUGGGCGAAAGCCUGACGGAGCAACGCCGCGUGAGUGAUGAAGGUCUUCGGAUCGUAAAACUCUGUUAUUGGGGAAGAACAUAUGUGUAAGUAACUGUGCACAUCGUGACGGUACCUAAUCAGAAAGCCACGGCUAACUACGUG
rnacentral:rRNA from 1 species